GCCAGGCUAGCUCCGUGGGUAGAGUGAGAGACUCCUAACCUCCUGGUCGUGGGUUCCAGCCCCAUGUUAGGUC
rnacentral:tRNA from 1 species